GACGAACGCUGGCGGCGUGCUUAACACAUGCAAGUCGAACGAAGAGCGAUGGAAGCUUGCUUCUAUCAAUCUUAGUGGCGAACGGGUGAGUAACGCGUAAUCAACCUGCCCUUCAGAGGGGGACAACAGUUGGAAACGACUGCUAAUACCGCAUACGAUCUAAUCUCGGCAUCGAGGAAAGAUGAAAGGUGGCCUCUAUUUAUAAGCUAUCACUGAAGGAGGGGAUUGCGUCUGAUUAGCUAGUUGGAGGGGUAACGGCCCACCAAGGCGAUGAUCAGUAGCCGGUCUGAGAGGAUGAACGGCCACAUUGGGACUGAGACACGGCCCAGACUCCUACGGGAGGCAGCAGUGGGGAAUCUUCCGCAAUGGACGAAAGUCUGACGGAGCAACGCCGCGUGAGUGAUGACGGCCUUCGGGUUGUAAAGCUCUGUUAAUCGGGACGAAAGGCCUUCUUGCGAACAGUUAGAAGGAUNGAC
rnacentral:rRNA from 1 species